AUUGAACGCUGGCGGCAGGCUUAACACAUGCAAGUCGAACGAGUGGCGGACGGGUGAGUAAUGCCUGGGAAUCUAGCUUAUGGAGGGGGAUAACUACGGGAAACGGUAGCUAAUACCGCGUACCAUCAGAUGAGCCCAAGUGGGAUUAGGUAGUUGGUGGGGUAAAGGCUCACCAAGGCGACGAUCUCUAGCUGGUCUGAGAGGAUGACCAGCCACACGGGGACUGAGACACGGCCCAGACUCCUACGGGAGGCAGCAGUGGGGAAUAUUGCGCAAUGGGGGCAACCUGACGCAGCCAUGCCGCGUGUAUGAAGAAGGCCUUCGGGUUGUAAAGUUCUUUCGGUAGGGAGGCGUUAACUACAGAAGAAGCACCGGCUAACUCCGUGCCAGCAGCCGCGGUAAUAC
rnacentral:rRNA from 1 species